GAUGAACGCUGGCGGCGUGCUUAACACAUGCAAGUCGAGCGGUAAGGCUCCUUCGGGGGUACACGAGCGGCGAACGGGUGAGUAACACGGGAGUAAUCUGCUCCUGGCGCUGGGAUAAGCAUUCGAAAGGGUGUCUAAUACCGGAUAUGACAAUACUCCGCAUGGGGUGGUUGUGGAUAGUUUUUUCGGCUGGGGAUGUGCUCGCGGCCUAUCAGCUUGUUGGUGGGGUAAUGGCCUACCAAGGCUUUGACGGGUAACCGGCCUGAGAGGGUGACCGGUCACACUGGGACUGAGACACGGCCCAGACUCCUACGGGAGGCAGCAGUGGGGAAUAUUGGACAAUGGGCGGAAGCCUGAUCCAGCAACGCCGCGUGAGGGAUGACGGCCUUCGGGUUGUAAACCUCUUUCAGCGAGGACGAAGCGUGAGUGACGGUACUCGCAGAAGAAGGACCGGCCAACUACGUGCCAGCAGCCGCGGUAA
rnacentral:rRNA from 1 species